AGAGGUGGCAAGCGUUGUUCGGAAUUACUGGGCGUAAAGGGCGCGUAGGCGGUCGAUUAAGUCCCGUGUGAAAUCCCUCGGCUCAACUGAGGAACUGCACGGGAAACUGGCUGACUUGAGUUCGGGAGAGGGAAGCGGAAUUCCGGGUGUAGCGGUGAAAUGCGUAGAUAUCCGGAGGAACACCGGUGGCGAAGGCGGCUUCCUGGACCGAUACUGACGCUGAGGCGCGAAAGCUAGGGGAGCAAACGGGAUUAGAUACCCCGGUAGUCCUAGCUGUAAGCGAUGAGUGCUGGGUGUAGGGGGUAUUAACCCCUCCUGUGCCGAAGCUAACGCAUUAAGCACUCCGCCUGGGGAGUACGGUCGCAAGGCUG
rnacentral:rRNA from 1 species